CGAGUCCCGUCCGGUAGAGGCUGGCCACCAGCCGGAAGCCACCAUUGCGUCGUCGUCAGAGAUGGCGGCACGAAGCGUAUGGGGCGAGUCCAAAAGCCGUGUGAAUGAGUCCCGAAAUAAAGAUGAACGUUGGAGCCUUCGCGAUCGUUCAACCGAGGGCCGCGCCGACACGCCGCGAAAGCCUGGCGUGAAGGUCCGACCGGGAUCUGAGAGCA
rnacentral:ncRNA from 1 species